CUCCUGGGCAUCAAGACCCGCCUGGAGCAGGAGAUUGCACAGUACCGGGCACUGCUUGAGGAAGGGCAGCAGGAUAUUAGCAUCUCACAGGGAGGAGCUGGCAGCGGAUCUUCAGGAGGAGGAGGUCAUGGAGGAACCAGUUGGUCUUCUGGAAAAGGAAGUAGUGGAAGAGGAAGUAGUUGGUCCUCAGGUGGAGGAAGCAGUGGAGGAAAAACUGGAGGAUCCAGUGGAGGAACUUCCUAUUCUGGAGGUGGAGGAGGAGGGAGAGGAGGAGGAACAGGAGGUGGAGCCUGUGGUAAAACAUCAGGUGGAGGAGGCGGCAGUGGCGAAGGAGGGGGCAAAUCCUGCCUCUCCCGCUCUUCAUCUUCUCAGUCCCAAUCUGGCAAGUCUUGUGAAAGCCAAGGAGGUGCUGAAAACAUGA
rnacentral:lncRNA from 1 species